GACGAACCGUGCGAACGUUGUUCGGAAUCACUGGGCUUAAAGGGCGCGUAGGCGGGUGACCAAGUCAGGGGUGAAAUCUUUCGGCCCAACCGGAAAAGUGCCUCUGAUACUGGUCGUCUUGAGGGAGGUAGGGGUCGAGGGAACUGGUGGUGGAGCGGUGAAAUGCGUAGAUAUCACUAGGAACGCCGGUGGCGAAAGCGCUCGACUGGACCUCUUCUGACGCUGAGGCGCGAAAGCCAGGGGAGCAAACGGGG
rnacentral:rRNA from 1 species